UACGUAGGUGACAAGCGUUAUCCGGAUUUAUUGGGCGUAAAGCGCACGCAGGCGGUCUAUCAAGUCUGACGUGAAGUCUCUCGGCUUAACCGGGAGCGGUCGUUGGAAACUGAUGGACUUGAGGCGAUGAGAGGGGUGUGGAAUUCCCGGUGUAGUGGUGGAACGCGUAGAUAUCGGGAGGAACAUCAGUGGCGAAAGCGGCACCCUGGCAUUAGCCUGACGCUCAUGUGCGAAAGCGUGGGGAGCGAACGGG
rnacentral:rRNA from 1 species